rnacentral:rRNA from 1 species
AGUGAACGCUGGCGGUAGGCCUAACACAUGCAAGUCGAACGGCAGCACAGUAAGAGCUUGCUCUUACGGGUGGCGAGUGGCGGACGGGUGAGGAAUACAUCGGAAUCUACCUUUUCGUGGGGGAUAACGUAGGGAAACUUACGCUAAUACCGCAUACGACCUACGGGUGAAAGCAGGGGAUCUUCGGACCUUGCGCGAUUGAAUGAGCCGAUGUCGGAUUAGCUAGUUGGCGGGGUAAAGGCCCACCAAGGCGACGAUCCGUAGCUGGUCUGAGAGGAUGACCAGCCACACUGGAACUGAGACACGGUCCAGACUCCUACGGGAGGCAGCAGUGGGGAAUAUUGGACAAUGGGCGCAAGCCUGAUCCAGCCAUACCGCGUGGGUGAAGAAGGCCUUCGGGUUGUAAAGCCCUUUUGUUGGGAAAGAAAAGCAGCAGGUUAAUACCCCGCUGUUCUGACGGUACCCAAAGAAUAAGCACCGGCUAACUUCGUG